UUUUUCUUAGAAGUUCUAAAAUGUCAUAGUCAAAUGUGUUUCAAAGAUAAUUGGAUUCUAAAUUAUCGUGUAAGAGUUCUUGAUAUUUCUUGAAUCUGGAUGCUUAAUUCUUCUCUUCCCAUUCCUCCCUCUACAUAUGCGGGAGCUUGGGCUUACCGUUGGCCAGAUAAGCUGUAUCCAGGGUAUAUCCUCGUUAUGUGAUAUCCUGACCCCCCUGGCGAUAGGUUGGAUAUCUUCUCAUCUACAUAAUGUAAGGUUAGACAUUUCUGUAUU